rnacentral:lncRNA from 1 species
AGUCUCCCUUCUGGCUUCCACCAGCAGCAUCUCUGGUCCCUUCCCAGUGUUGAGAACUAAAGACAGAGCCACUGGGCAACUGCUCUCUGUCUAAGCUUUGUCUCCUGCCCAGAAGUCAUCCUUGAUACUUGACAGUCGGCCAUUUAGUAGACCCUCUUAUGUGGGUCUCCCAGAUGUUUCCAGGUAUUUAUUUCACCAGCAUCCUGCUUCUAGCCACCAUUGUCUUGUUCUUAAACUACUGCACUGUCAUCCUAACCUGUCUCCACAUGUACAGGGAGAUGCAUGGAAAUCUGCCUCCCCAUCUCAGAGGGAUCUGUGUACAUUUUUGAACUGCCUUUCCUGAAAUCUCCAGGGCCUCUCCACUGCUUCCAGCGGGAGCUCCAGCCCUUUGGUGGCCUAUGCAAAGUACCCUGAGAUCUCGAAACUGUUUCUGGUACGAGCGUCUCCUUCACCCUCUGUGGCCAAGCUCUCCAGCAGCAAAGAAGUACUGUGGUCCCUGCAGGUGACUUACAGUUCCUCCACUCUCAUCAGCAUGCCUCUCUAAGGACAAUUUUUUCCUCACCCUAGCCACACUCCUCUACCCAUUCACACUUAUCAGGAUCAGCACAGACCUGCAAGCAGCCUGGUGAACAGAAAGUGCCUCAGUGGAGAGGCCCGUGUCUCACUGGGGGCUAAAAUGGUCAUUGACGGCACUGAGGUAGGGUCCAAAGGAGUUUUCCUUGGUUUCUUAACUACUACGGUUUCAUCUGGAGGUAUGGGUUCUGACUACCCCAUUUCCAGAUGUAUAUUUCCAACCAUUUAUUCUUGCAUCUAUACCACAUUUUGCAGUUUCUUGGGAAAGAUAUCAUCACCUAAUGUAAGCACUGGGCCUGUGAUUCCCUCAUGCAAUCCUAAUAGUCUCCUGUUUGCAAAAUGAGAUUUACCAGCCACCCACUGCAGAUACUCUAGGUUUCCUAACGUGCCUUAUGCAAGUAGGGAGGACUUGAAAAGAAAAUGAACACCCCCGCCAGCAGAGGGCAGCAGGGAGCCUGGGCGCUGAGGACUGGCAGAGUCAGGCUUGGGUGUGUCUGAGAAAGGAUGCAGAUUAAAUUCCACUCCUAUCUUGCCAGGACUGGUACAGCCACAGGAGAUAGAUGGUGUAUGUGUAUAGACAUGCUGAAGCAGGGGACAGGGAGAGAAGUGUAAAUGCAUGCCUUUGAUGGUGGGAGAGGAAGAAGGAAUAUAUUCCAAUCUGUUUGACAGACAGAGAAAGGGUUUGGCUUUUUUGUUGUUUUGUUUUGUUGAGAUAGAGUCUUACUCUGUAGCCCGUGGUAACCUCAAAUCCAUGGUGACCCUCCCGAGCGCUGGAAUUACAGAUGUGAGCAAUCACAUCUGGCAAGGAAUUCAUGAAUUUUAAAACCUCACCAGUGCUCAGAUGUUCCCUGAUCGAUGGAAGAGAGCCCCCCCACACACACACACACACACACACACAGCUCAUGUUGGAGUUGGGAGACCUGAUUGUGUGGAAACAAAGACAAGACAGCAAGGUAGACGCCAUGCAGGAAGGCUCUGCCUCUUUCAAGACACUCUACCGGGCCUGCACGCUCCGGCUUCCUCCACCCUUCAGGUCUCGUCCCAAGCAGAAUUCCCUUGGUGCUCUCUGGCAUAGCCUUACUAUUUCAGGAACGAAGGAGGCAGCUUUUGAAAAAUAAGUACAUUAUCAUCUCACUUGAAACCUGUUCUAGGGGCUGAAGAGAUGGCUCAGCGGUUAAGAGCAUUGACUGCUCUUCCAGAGGUCCUGGGUUCAAUUCUCAGCAACCACAUGAUGGCUCACAACUAUCUAUAGGGGGAUCUGACGCCCUCUUCAGACAGGCGGAUGUAUAUGCAGCAAAGCACUCAUACAUUAAAUAAACAAAAUUUUUAAAAG